UAAAAGCUCUGGGAUUUUUCUGGAAUGAAUAAAUGAAAAAAGGUUUCACUUUGGGAAAAUAGGGGAAUAGACAAAAAAACCUUUCGGUCUAACUAAAUUGUAUUUGUACUUGUUUUCGAUUUUAAUUGUGGAUGGAACUAGACAAUUCAAAGUACCUGAUGGCCAAAAUCAUUGUAGAAUGUGUUGUGAAAUCAGUUCUCAGAAAUUUGGUGUGAUCACUGUGUUCAUGUUAAGUCAUUUUGGGCUUUGUUGACACAUUCCUUGCGAUGUUGCUAUUAUAGAGUUGAACUUGAGGCUGAAUCUAGACACAAAUUUAUUUUUUAUUCUCAGCAAUCUAAUCUAGAUUAACUCUAAAGCUGAAUAUUGCCUGUUUUCACAUGUAGUUAUAGUGUUCUUUUUUCUGUCUAGAUCACUGGGGAUGCACUUGAUGCUUAUUCAAAAACUGCAUGUGUUGGUAGUGUAAGAGAGUGGCCUGGACAAAUAUUUUUUUUGUCUAUCCCAAACUUUCUGGACAACACAAGUACAGAUGGCUAUUAGAAAUGGUCAAGGGCACUGGAGGAUUUUCUGGAACAGAAUAAUAGGUUGAGGAUGUUGCCACCUUGGUGCGAGGAAAGCUGUCUAAGCAGAAUGGAGUGACUGCAGGAGCACUUGUUGUGCUUGAUGUUCAUGCUAGGAAUGUUCUUGCAUCUCCAGUAAGCAAAAAAGUCAAAGAUGAGAGUGACUUUGAGUGGUUAAGUCAGCUUAGGUGCUACUGGGAGUUAAGUGAUACCUCUCAAUCCUAUUAGAAGAGUGACAAAAAUGUUGCAUCCAAAAAGCUGAAGUUGAAUCAAGAUGAAGGAAAAUUAAAGAUUGCUAUUGGUCUGAGAAAGAAAGAAGCAGACCUGAGGAAGGUUCAAGAUAAGUUGCUGUACUCCACCAGACAUGAGAAUCCAAGAAGAAAAGAGAAGGCUGACUUGGAAAUCAGGUUGACUUAUACAGCAAAAAACUACAAUGAACAGAACAAUUGAUUGGUGGCCUUGGGGAUGAGAAAAUUCACUGGCAUGAGACUGCUUUGGAGCUGGGAAGUGAAAUAAACAGAAAUUCAGAACACAAGAAGAUUUUUACAUGGCAGAUGGUUUGAUAUGUUGGAAAUUUUGGAUGCCAAAAUUACCCUGACUUCGAGUGUUUUUGAACACCAAAACCUGCCACUGAGUGCAGCUGAAGAAAUUGAUGUCCAUUUAUUUUGAAAAUCAGGUUCACAUUUGGAAGUAGAGAUGCGUGGAUAACACUUCAGCUCUGGCAACCGGAUAGGUGACAAAGUGC